rnacentral:rRNA from 1 species
AUGAUGUGGUUUAAUUCGAUGCAACGCGAAAACCUUACCCACCUUUGACAUGUACGGAAGCCUUUAGAGAUAGAGGCGUGCUCGAAAGAGAGCCGUAACACAGGUGCUGCAUGGCUGUCGUCAGCUCGUGCCGUGAGAUGUUGGGUUAAGUCCCGCAACGAGCGCAACCCUUGUCAUUAGUUGCUACAUUCAGUUGGGCACUCUAAUGAGACUGCCGUGACAAGCCGGAGGAAGGUGGGGAUGACGUCAAGUCCUCAUGGCCCUUAUAGGUGGGGCUACACACGUCAUACAAUGGCUGGUACAAAGGGUUGCCAACCCGCGAGGGGGAGCUAAUCCCAUAAAGCCAGUCGUAGUCCGGAUCGUAGUCUGCAACUCGACUACGUGAAGUCGGAAUCGCUAGUAAUCGUGGAUCAGAAUGUCACGGUGAAUACGUUCCCGGGUCUU